rnacentral:lncRNA from 1 species
AAAUCCCAAUUAUGAUAGUCUACAUUUAAAACAUCAUGAGAAGAAAGGGGCUAUGUAAAUGACUAAUUUUUGCUUGAUACGACUCGUGACUUCUCUAUGCUAUAUCCUAUGCAGAAUUAGACGAGCCUCGUGCUGAGGUUGAAGAGUUUGAACCAUAUGAGGAGCAUGCAUAUAGGAUGGUGAGAGCUCAAAAGAGAAGCAUUGUAGAAUCAUGGCCAUCGCCAUUUUUGCCUCAAUUAUGGUCAAGGUUUGUCCAUUACUUAUCCGAGGUCCCAACCCAAAUGGGAAAUAUAAGCCUUGUUUCUUCAUUGCCUUUAAUACUCCUUAAUCUCUCUGAUUUAAACUCCAUUGCGUCCUUUCCCCAAAAUUCACGGUCAUGAUAUAAUAGGAUUGUUCAUAGUGAAAGCUACGUCUUGGCUGGGAGCAAUAGUUUCCCCAAUUUCGUUUCUACAUGAACUCUUUGGUUAAGAGUAAUCCGUGG